rnacentral:tRNA from 1 species
GGGCCCAUAGCUCAAUGGCAGAGCUUCCGGCUCAUAACCGGGUGGUUCGAGGUUCAAGUCCUCGUGGGCCCACCA